CCAUAUUCCCCACGGGGGAGGAUGAGAAGCUUCGACCUCGAAGGUUUGACCCGAAGGGUGAGUCGCAAAGCGACGAAAAAUCCUUCCUGCUCCGCAG
rfam:Erwinia billingiae strain Eb661 complete chromosome.